GACGAACGCUGGCGGCGUGCUUAACACAUGCAAGUCGAACGGAAAGGCCCUGCUCUUGUGGGGUGCUCGAGUGGCGAACGGGUGAGUAACACGCGAGUAACCUGCCCUUGACUUUGGGAUAACUUCAGGAAACUGGGGCUAAUACCGGAUAGGAGCUCCUGCUGCAUGGUGGGGGUUGGAAAGUUUCGGCGGUUGGGGAUCGACUCGCGGCUUAUCCGCUUGUUGGUGGGGUAGUGGCUUACCAAGGCUUUGACGGGUAGCCGGCCUGAGAGGGUGACCGGCCACAUUGGGACUGAGAUACGGCGCAGACUCCUACGGGAGGCAGCAGUGGGGAAUAUUGCACAAUGGGCGGAAGCCUGAUGCAGCAACGCCGCGUGCGAGAUGACGGCCUUCGGGUUGUAAACCGCUUUCGCCUGUGACGAAGCGUGAGUGACGGUAAUGGGUAAAGAAGCACCGGCUAACUACGUG
rnacentral:rRNA from 1 species